GCUCAGGUGGCGAAAUUGGUAAACGUUGCGGCCUCAGGAGCCGUUGGGAGCAAUCCCUUGUGGGUUCGAGUCCCACCCUGAGCA
rnacentral:tRNA from 1 species